rnacentral:rRNA from 1 species
CCUCCUACGGGAGGCAGCAGUAAGGAAUAUUGCGCAAUGGGCGAAAGCCUGACGCAGCGACGCCGCGUGGGGGAUGAAGGUCUUCGGAUUGUAAAUCCCUUUCGGGAGGGAAGAUGGAGCGAGCAAUCGUUCGGACGGUACCUCCAGAAGCAGCCACGGCCAACUUCGUGCCUGCGCCGCGGUAA